rnacentral:rRNA from 1 species
UACGGAGGGUGCGAGCGUUGUCCGGAAUUAUUGGGCGUAAAGGGCUCGUAGGCGGUUUGUCGCGUCGGGAGUGAAAUCCACUGGCUUAACUGGUGGCUUGCUUUCGAUACGGGCAGACUGGAGGUAUGCAGGGGAGAGCGGAAUUCCUGGUGUAGCGGUGAAAUGCGCAGAUAUCAGGAGGAACACCGGUGGCGAAGGCGGUUCUCUGGGCAUGUCCUGACGCUGAGGAGCGAAAGUGUGGGGAGCGAACAGG